GAGGAGUGAGCCAGGUUUCAGGAGGGGGCACGCAGGAGACCAGCCCUGGAUUCAGACUUGAGCCUGGUCCACACCAGAGGCCGAUAGAAGGCUUGGAUUACAGCAGGGGCAGGUUCUUUCACGAAAUCAAAUUUCUCCACUGAUUUCUGAAUUCAUAGCAAGCUAACUAGAAGAGAUUUUUAAUUCAGAAUGCUGCACUCCAAAAAACUGAGAAAGACAUUGAGGGAGGGAAUAUGGAAAUUUGAUGGUAUCUCGGCUAAGUUUGAUAUUGAGAUUUUUGUAAUAAAUGUUGUUGAAUAAAAAAGGCAUCAAGAUGCCUAAAUCAGAGAGAUAAAAUGAAGAAUAAUUACAGUAUACAAUUUUUGAAUUAUUGUCCAAUCAACUAAAAUUAGAAGUUUUUAACAUGCUAAAAUGGAAAGUUAUUCAACAGAAUGGAAUCCUUUAAAAUAUGAUGGAACUGCCACUUAAGCAUCAGAAGUCUGCUCAGGUGUGACCCUGGGAGCCCAAACUUUUCACGGAACAGCAAGGAACAUCCCUGUGCUCCUCCUUCCCAGUCUCUUUUUUUUUCAGAGGGAGUCUCGCUCUGUUGCCCAGGCUGGAGUGCAGUGGCGAGAUCUCAGCUCACUGCAAGCUCCGUCUCCCGGGUUCACGCCAUUCUCCUGCCUCAGCCUGCCGAGUAGCUGGGACAACAGGCGCCAGCCACCAUGCCCAGGCAUACAAAACCUGCCUUGCCUCUCCCCAGUUUGAACAGUGCUUUUGAACUUUGAUGGAAAAGCCACAUUUGGAAGGUCAUACCACCCUUGACAAACUGCAGUCCCUACUGGCCAUUACACUGCAGAGCCGUGACAAUGAUGGAUCUCCUGUUUGGAAGAGAAUGACCCAGGACAAAAGGGGUGACCAAACCAUGGUCUAAGUGUGAUAUCUGAAGCUGCUUAAUCUGCAAAAGGAAACCCAGUCUGCAGCAUCCUCGGGAGACAGCUGGAUCAGCCAGAGAGCUUCAGAAAGACACACAUCACUCUGCCAGACACACACACUGCUCCAGCUCCAGCAUCCAACAUCUGACCACAUGUCGGCAGCCACUGCUGACCUGGCUCCACCAUUUCUCCCCAGGUCUAAGCUUAAGCCGCACUGCAUUGCUUCCAUUUCUUCAUGCUUGCUCUGUUCCCUUCUACCACAGGGGCUUUGUGCAAGCUCAGCCUCAACAUGGAUCUUCCCCCUUCUUCACCUGGUCAACAGCCACUCAUUCUUCAACCUUAGUUCGAGCAUCAUCAACCUCCCCCGCUAUGUCAGUUCUCCCUGUUAGACACCCUGGCUGUUCCACAUAUCUUUUAUUCAAAGUAGUUACAUAUUAAAGCAUUCCAUUUGUGCAUACAAUUAUUGUAGAAUUACUUCCCAGCAGACAGAUGCUAUAGGAGGGAAGAGACCUUUUCUGCUUAAGUAUCUAGUGCAGUGCCUGGCCCUUAAUAGGUGCUCAACAAAAAUUUUUAAAUGAAUGCUUAAAUACCAUAUCAUGGGUCAUGUCUGGUUGCAAAAAGAUAUUCAUCAUAAUAAAAAUAAUAAAC